rnacentral:rRNA from 1 species
UACGUAGGGGGCGAGCGUUGUCCGGAGUUACUGGGCGUAAAGCGCACGCAGGCGGUCUGCUAAGUUUGGAGUGACAGUUGGUGGCUUAACUGCCAAAGUGCUUCGAAAACUGACAGACUUGAGGGCUUCAGAGGGACACGGAAUUCCGGGUGGAGUGGUGAAAUGCGUAGAGAUCCGGAGGAACACCAAAGGCGAAGGCAGUGUCCUGGGGGGUACCUGACGCUCAGGUGCGAAAGCCAGGGGAGCGAACGGG